rnacentral:rRNA from 1 species
UACGGAGGGGGCUAGCGUUGUUCGGAAUUACUGGGCGUAAAGCGCACGCAGGCGGCUUUGUAAGUUAGAGGUGAAAGCCCGGGGCUCAACUCCGGAAUUGCCUUUAAGACUGCAUCGCUAGAAUUGUGGAGAGGUAAGUGGAAUUCCGAGUGUAGAGGUGAAAUUCGUAGAUAUUCGCAAGAACACCAGUGGCGAAGGCGGCUCACUGGCCCGAUACUGACGCUGAGGCACGAAAGCGUGGGGAGCAAACAGG